rnacentral:rRNA from 1 species
GAUGAACGCUAGCGGCAGGCUUAACACAUGCAAGUCGAGGGGUAUAGUUCUUCGGAGCUAGAGACCGGCGCACGGGUGCGUAACGCGUAUGCAAUCUACCUUUUGCAGAGGGAUAGCCCAGAAAAAUUUGGAUUAAUACCUCAUAGUAUGUGAGAAUGGCAUCAUUUUCACAUUAAAGUCACAACGGCAAAAGAUGAGCAUGCGUCACAUUAGCUUGUUGGUAAGGUAACGGCUUCACAAGGCAACGAUGGGUAGGGGUCCUGAGAGGGAGAUCCCCCACACUGGUACUGAGACACGGACCAGACUCCUACGGGAGGCAGCAGUGAGGAAUAUUGGACAAUGGGCGAAAGCCUGAUCCAGCCAUGCCGCGUGCAGGAUGACGGUCCUAUGGAUUGUAAACUGCUUUUGUACAGGAAGAAACACUGGUUCGUGAACCAGCUUGACGGUACUGUAAGAAUAAGGAUCGGCUAACUCCGUGCCAGCAGCCGCCGUAACAC